ensembl:lincRNA
CGGAGUCCGCCACCCCCAACCCCCACAGCCCCAGCGCCUCCCCGGGCCCCUCCCCAGAGACUUUGAUUUCAUCCCCUCCCCGCCCCGGGCGGGCUGGCAGGUGCGGGGGUGGGAGCCGUCUCCUGCCGGAGCGGCUUUGCCAAAGGUCCGGCUGCUGACGUCGGAGCGCCCGCUCCUGUCAAUGAACGGCAGCGGCAGCCUGGGGACUGGCUGGCAACGAGGCUACAGACGUCAUCGCCUCCUGUUGGACGCGAGGGGGGGUGUCCGAGCCGCAGCUCCGGCUUAAAGGAAAACUCUCCAAGUUCCAGGCAGCCGGGGAGCGCCGUUCCCGACAAGCACAUGCACCCACAGCCCGGUGCGCGCGGGCACACGGGCGGGCACACUCGCGCACUCGCACACACGCACACUCAGACACGCACGCACCUUCGCACCCGUGUUCCCUAUAGGUGUGCGGUCCAAAGUUGCGGCCGCAAGGAGGGUGAGCUGAGAUGGACCGGUCUUCCUUGGCGCCUGGGCGAGGCUUUCCUGGAGACCCCCCAGAAGGACAAGAGGGCAAGAGGAAAGACCCCCUCGGCUUAGAGUUGUCUCCCUCCUUUUCCGAGAUGACCAGCGCGAAAUGAGGACUGCCCCAAGCCUUUGGGACGUGCCUGCGGAGCGGAGCCGGAGCGAGUGUUCUUGGAGAGGUCAUGAACUCGGGCCACCCGGGCUCAUGGGCAACUUGUUCUGCGCAGUUCUCAAUGGAGCCCCGGACCCACCCGGCUCCUGGCUCGCCUGCUUCCCACCCCCCCUUCUUUGCUGCUCCUCUUUCUUUUAAAUGUGUGAAGUUGAAGUGGAAAGCAGAUAGGUGCUUCGCAUACUUUGGCGGAUACAGUGGUGUCCCGAAUCCGUGGGUUCACUUUUUAAGUUGCCAGUUACCCACAGCCAACCUUGAUGCAGACACAUUAAAUGGAAAAGUCCAGAAGUAAGCGAUUCAUGAGUUUUGACUGGUCCCUUCUGAGCCGCAAGGUGGAAUCUGUUCUCUCCAAUCCGCUCGGGACACGGUCAUCCCUUUGUCCGGCACGUCAGCCCGGUGGGCACUUAGCAGCCCGCAGCUGUCAGACGGGCGCUUGAGGCGUCACGGGGCUGCAGUCAGAGUGACUGACAUACUUGCUCAUGGCCCCCAGGUGCCAGAGGACUGAUGCUCGCCGCUGUUCUGCCACAGAGAAGCCGGACAGUGCAUCUUCUGAGUGAAAAAAUGAAAGUUCGUCAGUAAGGAAAGAAAAAAUACGUGCUGAGGUUGCUAAGAUCUACUGCUAAGAAUGAAUUUUCUAUCCGCAAUGUUUUAAAGAAGGAAGAAGAAAGCUGUACGGGUUUUGCUGUUGCAUCGAAAGCUUUAAAAAUUGUGGCCAUGGUCCAUGAUAAGUGCUUAGUUAAGAUGGAAAAAGACAUUAAAUUUGUUAUGUAAGAUAUUUUGAGAGACCACAUUCACAUAACUUUUAGUAUAGCACACUAUAAUAGUUGUUCUAUUUUAUUAUUAGUUGUUAAUCGCUUACUGUACCUAAUUUAUAAAUAGGUAUGUACAUACAAGAAAAGGGCCGCCAGGUGGCGCUGGUGGUAAAGAACCCGCUUGCCGGUGCAGGAGUAGGUUUGCUCCCUGGGUCGGGAAGGUCCCCUGGAGGAGGGCAGGGCAACCCACUCCAGUAUUCUUGCCUGGAGAAUCCCAUGGACAGAGGAGCCUGGUCCAUAGGUUCACAAAGAAUUGGACAUGACUGAAGUGACUUAGCCUAUACGUACAGGAAAAAGCAUAGUAUAUAUGGGAUCCUGUACUACCGUGGGUUUCAGGGGUCUACUGGGGUCUUGGAAUGUACCGCCCUGUGGACAGGGAGGGACAGCUGUACUGAUGUAGAAACAGAUGCAAGAUCAGAGGACGUGGUAAGUUAGUCUUUUUAGUCCCUUUGUCCUCCCCCGCAGCACGCGCACGCACCUGUAUAUCUGCACACACGGCGUGGGCCAGGGCUGAGGGCACAACAGAACAUAGCACUCACCUAGCUCUGCCCUCUGCUGCGGCCACCGGGUGGAGGCGGUGUGUUGGAACAGCCCAGGAAACCUCGUUCAACUGUGACCGUUACCAGCCACCCUGUCCAACCCACAGGUUCUGCCUCCAUAAUCAGAACUGGUCUCCAGCCCUUCCCAGGGCUUCCAGGCGAUCCCAAAAGGCCACCCUUCCCCCAGACUCCGCCAUCAAACCCAGCACACACACAGACACACAUACAAGGCAGGCACCUGUUCAUUUGUGGACCCUGAUGCUUAACAACCAGACUCUGAUCUUGACCUUUCUUUGCUGAUCUUGACCUUGUGUUCACUUACACUUCCAGUGGAUUCUUAAAAAGAGAUUGACAUAAACAAUUUGGAAUCGUAGUAAAAGUCCAGAAGAUCACGCUAUACACACCUAAAAUUUACAGGCCUGAGGCUGGUGUAGCUUCUUUUGUUUGGUGUACACUGCCAUCUAGUGGUGAGAUUCUGCAUAGACGUGCAGUUUAUACCCCGCGCUGCGUAGUCCCACAGAAUUGUGUAAUUACACCCCACACCGCAGCAUAUAUAAACCUUGUAAUUAGGAUGCCACUGUCUUCCCUCCCUCUGUGUCUGUAUCCUUCCCCUGUGUUCUUUGCUGUAUUCUUUCCAAUUAAUCCUGGAGCCCCCACCGCUGAACAUGUUUGCAGUAAUUUUCCUAAACAAAGCCUGGCACAUUGUCUUGUUCAAUUAAUCUGAUCCUUUGUUUUUCAGUUUUUAAGUUGUGUCCAGCCUUUGCAACUCCUCCGUGGACUGCACCACACCAGACUUCCCUGAUCCUCACUGUCUCCCGGAGCUUGCUCAAACUCAUGUCCUUCGAGUCAGUGAUGCCACCCAACCAUCUCAUCUUCUGUUGCCCCUUCUCUUUUUGCCGUCAAUCUUUCCCAGCAUCAGGGUCUUUUCCAGUGAGUUGGCUCUUCACAUAAGGUGGCCAAAAUAUCGGAGCUUCAGCAUCAGUCCUUCCAAUGAACAUUCAGGGUUGAUUGUUUUUAAGAUUGACUGAUUGGAUCUCCUUGCUUUCCAAGGGACUCUGAAGAGUCUUCUCCAGCACCAUGAUUUGAAAGCAUCACGUUUUCAGCACUCAGCUUUCUUUAUGGUCCAAUUCUCACAUCCAUACAUGAGUACUGGAAAAACCAUAGCCUUGACUAUGUGAACAUUUUUAGGCAAAGUGAUGUCUCUACUUUUUAAUAUGCUGUCUCGGUUUGUGAUAGCUUUUCUUCCAAGAAGCAAGUGUCUUUUAAUUUCAUGGUUGAGAUCACCAUCCACAGUGAUUUUGGAGCCCAAGAAAAUAAAGUCUGUCACUGUUUCCAUUUUUCUCCCAUCUAUUUGCCAUGAAGUGAUGGGACCAGAUGCCAUGAUCUUAGUUUUUUGAACGCUGAGUUUUAAGCCGCUUUUUCACUCUCCUCUUUCACCUUCUUCAAAAGGCUCUUUAGUUCCUCUUCAUUUUCUGCCAUAAGGGUGGUGUCAUCUGCAUAUCUGAGAUUAUUGAUAUUUCUCCCCGCAAUCGUGAUUCUAUCUUGUGAUUGAUCCAGCCCAGCAUUUCGCAUGAUGUACUCUGCAUAGAAGUUAAAUAAGCAGGGCGACAAUAUACAGCCUUGAUGUACUCCUUUCCCAUUUUUGAACCAGAUCUGUUAUUGUGGUUGUUAGCAGAAGGAGAUCAGUUACACUUGAUGUGGGUUAAUUCCUGUGUUCCUCUUAACUGUGUGAAAGGGCAUUUUACAUAAAUCACUCCAGCAACAUUAAGACUAAGUUUAUACCACAUUUCGCUUUCUUUGUGAGAUUCAAACAAACCAAAGUGAUUCAAAUUGAUUGAAAAUAGGUGUGUAGUAUAUUUUCAAAGCAGAAGGUGGGAACUCAAAGGUGCCUGGCUUUUGGCGCGGACUCUGCCGCCCACCAGCGAGCUCCGUGCUGGGCAAAUGAUUUAGACUCCGUGUCUCCCAAACAGACUGGGAGUGAGUGGCCUCCAGACCCCCGACCACCUCGCUCCUGUGGCCCCCCGAGUGGCGGCUAAGCAGGAGUCAAGCUGAGGAGUCAAAAAUGGAUGAAAGAUGCUCUUUUCAGUCCAAGUUUAUGACAUUUUUUAAAAUUUAUUUUUAAUUGGAGGGUAGUUGCUUUACAGCAAUGUGUUGGUUUCAAGUCCUAGGAAAUUUUGAGAGAGAAACAUGACUUUUAAAAAUAUAAAUUUCUUUAUCUUAAUUGGAGGCUAAUUACUUUGCAAUAUUGUGUUGGUUUUGCCAUAUAUCAACAUGAAUCCACCACGGGUGUACACGUGUUCCCCAUCCUGAACCCCCCUCCCACCUCCCUCCCCGUACCAUACCUCUGGGUCAUCCCAGUGCUCCAGCCCCAAGCAUCCCGCAUCCUGCAUCGAACCUGGACUGGCGAUUCAUUUCUUAUAUGAUAUUGUACAUGUUUCAAUGCCAUUCUCCCAAACUGUCCCCCCCUCGCCCUCUCCCACAGAGUCCAAAAGACUGUUUUAUACAUCUGUGUCUCUUUUGCUGUCUCGCAUACAGGGUUAUUGUUAUUGUCUUUCUAAAUUCCAUAUAUAUGUGUCAGUAUACUGUAUUGGUGUUUUUCUUUCUGGCUUAAUUCACUCUGUAUAAUCGGCUCCAGUUUCAUCCACCUCAUUAGAACUGAUUCAAAUGCAUUGUUUUUAAUGGCUGAGUAAUACUCCAUUGUGUAUAUGUACCACAGCUUUCUUAUCCAUUCGUCUGCUGAUGGACAUCUAGGUUGCUUCCAUGUCCUGGCUAUUAUAAACAGUGCUGUGAUGAACAUUGGGGUACCCGUGUCUCUUUCAAUUCUGGUUUCCUUGGUGUGUAUGCCCAGUAGUGGGAUUGCUGGGUCAUAAGGCAGUUCUAUUUCCAGUUUUUAAAGGAAUCUCCACACUGUUCUCCAUUGUGGCUGUACUAGUUUGCAGUCCCACCAACAGGGUAAGAGGGUUCCCUUCUCUCCACACCCUCUGCAGCAUUUAUUGCUUGUAGACUGAGAAACACAACUUUUAAAUGCACAUGCCCAGGUCCGUGUCCCCCAGUCCCCUGAGAGCCCAGAAGACAGAGGCCCUGGUGACGCACACAUGGUUGUGGGUUCUGGGGAGGGGUUGUCUCUGGGUGAGGGCCCCACGACCUCUUUCGGCCUCCGGGCGGUGGCCAGGUCAGCGGUCUGCCUUUGCACGCUGCCUUCCUCGCCUCCUCUCUGCAGGCAGGACCGCUGUGUUCGGGGAGUGGGGAAUUCAC